UAGAAUUAUCAGGAGCCACCAGGUGCUGCAGCAGCUUUGGGAUAACUUGAGGGCGCAUCCUGGGGAAGAAACACCUCCUGUCCAUGGUGCUAACUGCUGAGGACAGUGCUUCGGCGUGGCUUCUCCGUGGCCCAGCUUCUUUGGGGCGUUUUUCUUUCAUGGUUCAUCCAUAUGGCUCCAAAUGAAAAUUACAUUAAUUAUGGAUGAAGAGUAUUGUGUUGUGCAGAUAUACUGCAGUUUCUUCAUCCCUUCAUCUAUGGAUGGACAGGUUCCACAGUGUUGCCACGGAUGACCUGAUUUCAGUACCCGUGUCUGGCUGAAGAGUAUCUGGUUGUGACUGGAUACUGCAGUUUCUGGAUCUCAUCCUCUGUGGGUGGACAGCAAUUAAAGCCUCAUCUUCAGGAACAGUAGAAGAUGCCAAUUUAAAUAAACUGCUGCAUUCCUGAGACACAGGGCAGGAAAUGAAAGCUAUUGAACUCCUCAAGACCAAGAGACUAUUGUGAAAGAGGUGGGAGCAUAAGAUUGUAAGGGCCGAUUUUGAAAGAUAAAGUUGGUUCAGUUUCUCUAUACAUUAAUUAUUAAUGUCAAAAUCACAAUGAUGCAAAACCAGUAUAUGGACCCCUGUGUCAGAUUAACAAGGUUUUCUUGAAGCAUUUACCAACUCCUUAGUACAGGUUAUAAAAGGCUUAUGGAAGUUAUAUUUUAUAAUCAAGAUUACAUUUUAUAGAUUUAGAAAAUUUUAAAAAACAAAUGUAAUUGGCUUCAUGCUGUUUUUAUUAGGGCUGCUUGUUUAAAAAAUUAAGUCUCCUGUCUCAAAGGAUGAAGGUUUUCACUUUUAAAAAAUCCUUGAAUUAUCACUUUGGUUAAAUAAAUGACUUUACAAUGACCUGUAAUCCUAUUUUUUAAUAUCAAGUGUUUUAAACAUUUUAUAUUUGACAAACUUUCCAAAAUCAAAUUAUAUAUUAUGUCUUUUUCCAUCCUAAAUAGAACAUUAGUUUCUCUAAAGUCUAAAAAUGACAUAAUUUGGCUUAUCUGGUAUAAAAUUUAUACAGGAAAGUACUGUCAGAUAAGAAAUGGUGUUUGGCUUUCUUUCAUAUCCAUUUGUAUAAAUAUGUUAUUGGUAUGUGUUCCAAAAUGAUGGGAAACUCCUGUAAUUCUGAUAUAACUUAGUGUACAUUAUUCGUAAUAAUCAUAAUUGCUAUGUUAAAAUUAUCGUGUGCCACGGAGGUAACACAUUCACUUGUCAAUUGUAUCUUUUAACUAUGGCUGCCUUUACUUUUUUUUCAUCCACAGACGGUUAUCUUGUUUUGUCUUGUUUUGUCUUGUUUUAAACCCUCUUUAUAAGGUGGGUUUAUAAUCAGCUGUAGGACUCUUAACAGGUGCACUUAAAUUCAGGUUUUCUGAUAAUUUUGGAAAUUGUUACAUUGGAAUAAAGCAAAAAAUUUCGGAACUCUCUCAUGGAGAGCUGAAAUGUUCCUGACUAUGAAACGGAACAGGAGUUAAUAGAAAUAACUGAACCAACAGAAAAUUGAAGUAAUCUUUUUGACUUCUUGCUUAAAACAUUGCUGAUACUUUGUUUAGUUUUUCAGAGUUAAGAAAACUUUGUUAGUUGCAGCUUUUAACAAUAAAGUAUAUUCCUGUGAACAAAAUUUGGAGCAUAUUUGUUUUUCUCUACCUAAUUUCUCCA
rnacentral:lncRNA from 1 species